rnacentral:rRNA from 1 species
UACGAAGGGGGCUAGCGUUGCUCGGAAUUACUGGGCGUAAAGCGCACGUAGGCGGUCUUUUAAGUCGGGGGUGAAAUCCUGGAGCUCAACUCCAGAACUGCCUUCGAUACUGGAAGACUUGAGUCCGGGAGAGGGUGAGUGGAACUGCGAGUGUAGAGGUGAAAUCCGUAGAUAUUCGCAAGAACACCAGUGGCGAAGGCGGCUCACUGGCCCGGUACUGACGCUGAGGUGCGAAAGCGUGGGGAGCAAACAGGG